ACGCUGGCGGCGUGCCUAAUACAUGCAAGUUGAGCGCUGAAGGUUGGUACUUGUACCGACUGGAUGAGCAGCGAACGGGUGAGUAACGCGUGGGGAAUCUGCCUUUGAGCGGGGGACAACAUUUGGAAACGAAUGCUAAUACCGCAUAAAAACUUUAAACACAAGUUUUAAGUUUGAAAGAUGCAAUUGCAUCACUCAAAGAUGAUCCCGCGUUGUAUUAGCUAGUUGGUGAGGUAAAGGCUCACCAAGGCGAUGAUACAUAGCCGACCUGAGAGGGUGAUCGGCCACAUUGGGACUGAGACACGGCCCAAACUCCUACGGGAGGCAGCAGUAGGGAAUCUUCGGCAAUGGACGAAAGUCUGACCGAGCAACGCCGCGUGAGUGAAGAAGGUUUUCGGAUCGUAAAACCCUGUUGGUAGAGAAGAACGUUGGUGAGAGUGGAAAGCUCAUCAAGUGACGGUAACUACCCAGAAAGGGACGGCUAACUACGUGCCAGCAGCCGCGGUAAUACGUAGGUCCCGAGCGUUGCCCGGAUUUAUUGGGCGUAAAGCGAGCGCAGGUGGUUUAUUAAGUCUGGUGUAAAAGGCAGUGGCUCAACCAUUGUAUGCAUUGGAAACUGGUAGACUUGAGUGCAGGAGAGGAGAGUGGAAUUCCAUGUGUAGCGGUGAAAUGCGUAGAUAUAUGGAGGAACACCGGUGGCGAAAGCGGCUCUCUGGCCUGUAACUGACACUGAGGCUCGAAAGCGUGGGGAGCAAACAGGAUUAGAUACCCUGGUAGUCC
rnacentral:rRNA from 1 species